AGUAGUUAUUGGCAGCCACUUAUAGCUACCUCUGCCAUAUACUCAAUAGGCAGCCUUAAGCAAGGCACACACUCUCAGUCUCAGUGCCCACGUCUGCAAUAUGAAGAAUCACAAUACUGCCUGAAUAUAACUGGGUUACCGUAAGGAUUACAACGGGGUCACCAAUGUGGGCACUGGUGGUUGGCAGGGUCAACUUCCCAAAAACCAGAGCUGUCAGCCAAGAGCUCCCCUAAUCUCACCACCUCACUCUGCCCCUCCCUUGAUCCUGAGAGCAGUAGCGGCACCAAUGUCAGGAAGGUGAUGCUGCAACUUCACCCCCUCACAUCCAGCUGCCGGUUGAAGCUCUCAAAGAGACCUUCCAGUUUUGAACAGCAUGAUGAGAUGGGAAAGAAACCCUAACUCUUGUAUUUGUAAUGCCCAAAUAAUGUUGGCAGGUGGAGUUUGCAUCAAAACACCUUCUCUUCCAUCUGGACUCUUUAGACUCUAUCUUCUCUCCUAAAUGUGCCUUCCUCUUCCUACUCUGCUUGCCCUAGGGCAGAUGUGAGGAACCUUUGACACUCCAGAUGUUGCUGAACUACAACUCCCAUCAUCCCUGACCAUUGGCCAUGCUUGCUGGGGCUGAUGGGAGCUGUAGUUCAUCAACAUUUGGAGGACCAAAGGUUCCCCUACACCUGACCUAGGGUUCAAGCCUAUAUCUAAUGCUCUCAGGCUACAGGAUUUUGAUUCAACAUUAGGAAAACCUUCUUAAUGGUAAGAGAAGUUCAGCAAUGGAACAUAUUACCUGGAAGUCUUCAAGUAGAGGCUCUGGAUUUUCUGCACCAAACAGAUGGUCCACAGGCCCCACUCCAACUGUGUGAUCCUAUGAUUAUUAACGAUUUACCAAAUCUCUGGUGGCCUUGGGCCUUCCAAUGGGAAUGAAGCUUUGUAUUCCAUAAGUAUUGAAAACUCUCAGGUGCCUGUAGGCUUGCAGAUCAGCACCCUUUCUGUUCUAAGUCUCUGCAAAUGUCAAAUUAAACAAAACCUAACCUAUGCAAUCAAUAAACAGCUGAGUUUUCCAUGAUUUAACUGCCACUAGAACUCACCCUUUUACACUACGUGAUUGCCUCCCUUCCCUAGACAGCUGUCAAAGUUAUAAAUGCUGCAGGUUUGAUUCUGAGAACAAUACUGUGUAAAGAUGAUGAGGGAAAGAAAAGAAGAAAAAGCACCUUGCAAUUAAAUAUUUUAACAGACAUUUUCAAAGGUGUUUUUGAUGGAAUAUAAAAUUAAUGUUACCACCAGAGCACAUCAGAGACCUGAGAUUAUACAGUACCUAUCACUUUUGCAGGUAUAAAAAUAAUACCCUGAGAUGUUUUAUACCAACAUCUAUUUUAACUUUCAUCUUGGAGGCAUUUGCAUAACCCGCGAUUUCUUUAUUCAGUUUCUACUUUUUUAUUAACUUACUUUUAAAAAUUUACCUGUAAGAGCAGUUUACUAAUGUUUCACAAACUUUGUAGCCAUGUUUGAUGUUGGCAGUGAGCAGUCCUGUUGACAGACUUGGCCGGGUGAGGAUCCAUAUUGGAGAGGCAGAUACAAGCACUCCUCUGUUCUACCUCUAUUACUUUUAUGUUUUUUUUAUAUCAAAUUUACUUGUUAUGUUAAAUGUUUAUUUUAGCUUUGUAUUAGGUAAAGGUAAAGGGACCCCUGCCCAUUAGGUCCAGUCGUGGCCGACUCUGGGGUUGCGGCACUCAUCUCACUUUAUUGGCCGAGGGAGCCGGAGUACAGCUUCCGGGUCAUGUGGCCAGCAUGACUAAGCCGCUUCUGGUGAACCAGAGCAGCGCACGGAAACGCCAUUUACCUUCUUGCCGGAGUGGUACCUAUUUCUCUACUUGCUCUUUGACAUGCUUUCGAACUGGCCAGGAGCUGGGACCGAGCAACGGGAGCUCACCCUGUGGCGGGGAUUCAAACCGCGACCUUCUGAACGGCAAGUCCUAGGCUCUGUGGUUUAACCCACAGCGCCACCUGCGUCCCUAUUUUGUAUUAAAUGGUUUAUAAAUGCUUUUAAAUGGGUAAUUAUUCCACAUUAACUGUGCAAUUAUGGCUAUUAUCGAAUUGGCUUGAAGUAAGUAAGUAAAUGUAAUCUUCAAGUAUCUAGAAGGGCUGCCACAUGGAAUAUGGCACAAACUUGUUUUCUCCUGCUCUGGAGGGUAGGACCCGAACCAAUGGAUUCAAGUUACAAGAAUGGCGGUUCCAACUAAACAUUAGGAAUCAUUAAAGACAGUGAGAGCUGUUCGACAGUGGAAUGGGCUCCCUCAGAAGCUGGUGGACUCUCCUUGGCGGUUUGAAUGGCCAUCUUUCAUGGAUAAUUUAGAUGUGAUUCCUAGGAAGUUGGACUAGAUGACCCUUAGGGACCCUUCCAACUCUACAAUUCUGUGAUUCUAUGAUAAGCAUGCCCAUGCCAAAUCAAGCCAGUGAUAUGUCUGAAGACCUUACGCCCUCCAGCUGUUACUGAACUCUCUUCAGUCCCAGCAAUCCUUGCCAACAUUCACAGUGUCAAAGGUUCCCCAUCCAUCUGGUCCAUCUGGUCAGCAUUUUGUGCAACAAUGGUGCCAAGACAGAUGCUUCAGAGAAGCUCACCAGCGAGGACUGACAAUAUUUCCUUCCACUGAUAACAGACACCAGGAUACUGUCAACUGAUUUAUACUGGCUUCCAUCCUUCAUUUUUUUCCCCUGUAAACAGAGGGGACUUCCAACCAUGUAAAGGAGAAUUCUGCUCAUAGAAGUGAUCUCUGUGUGAGUGAAAUUGUCCUACCAUUAAUGAAAGUUCAUUGCAUUCAGGUACUAGCAGGUUGCCUCAGGGAAGUGAAGGUGUCUGUGGCAACAAAUUGAGAGGCAAAGUUUCCAUAGCUCAACAAGUUUAGCGCCAAUAGGAGCUAUCAGCAUUUGGCAAGCAGACACCAAAAUAAAUAAAAAAUCUAAAUAAAAUUUUUGAAAGACAGAUUAACGGUGCUCCAGUACUGAAUUUUACAAGAAGGCAUAUUACACUUUGGUGCUUAUUGGGCGAUUUCCCAUUAGGCAUCACUUCAUUAAAACAAAAUGUUCCAAUAUUCAAGAUAUACUGGAACAAUGAGGACAAUGACAAUUGCAAAUGCUUUGAAAUGGGGAGGAGGAAGCCCCAAUUUGUUUAGACCAUUUUAAUUUCACUUCAAAGAAUUUGAUCUCAUAAAGAGACUGCCAUCUUUCUGCUUCUCUGCAUAGUGCAUUGCCGAGUGUCUAUUUUCAUUUGGCUUCUCUAUAGACGUACACUUUAUGGUCACUGGAUUCAUUCUCAUUUUGUUUAUUAGUACCAUCAAAAGGCCUGCAAUACAUAUUAUCAAAACAAGCUCAGAUUCAUAGAAUACUGAAAUGUAAAUAUAUAUUUUGAUAACUAUAGAGACUCAUAGACUUGUAGGCCUCAAUAGGUGGCAUAGCAAAGGUUACUUGACCAAGUACAUCAAGGGGUGUGUACUGUUUAUUUUAGGCAAAAGCAGACCCCACUGAAAGAUAAUAUUAGGUUUGGAUAUGUCACACAUUAGGGGAAAUAUUUCACUAUGGAUAUUAUGUUUUCUCUUAUAUCUGUUUUAAUAUAUCUUUUAUUUUUAUUCAGUGCUGCAAAGUGGGGGGGGGGGGAUAGAUCUUGUCUGCACUCCGACAGAGUUAAAUACAGUCAAGGCUUUGUAUUUAAUGAGUGUAGAAAUAUGUAACUGUGUUGGAACUUUUGCAUUUUGACAAACUUUUCUUGAGACAUCCUAUAAAAUGUUAUGACAGCUAGUUGAAGAGAACAGAUAUUCUAAUGACCAGAAUUUAUUUUAAUCAUAUAUCAGUUUAACAAAUACAGAAAUAUUUAGGCAUCUCUGUAAGUUGGCUUCAUCCCUCGGAAGUCAACAGACUUCAGUCUACCAGUUGUGGACCCCAUGUUGAACCCAGUGUGGUGGGCAAUUGACCUCUGGUCAGUAAUGUCAUUGCUGCUUACCAGGGAGUAGAGGGGGAGAGGCAAAGUAACAGGGGGUCAGCAUGGUGUAAAUGCACUGGCAGAGCCAAUCCAGCAUUCCUGACAAUGCAUUUGCACCGUGUCAACCUUACUACCACCUUGCCUCUUCUCCUUUACUUCCUGGUAAGCAGCAGUAAUGGAACCAUCCAGAACUCAGGUGAGCAGUGCCUGUCCACCAUGUUGCCCAAUACUGGUAGAACCUCAAAAAACAAUGUAGAACUAUUGUUUUUAUAAGCCACCCAGAAUGCACUGAAUGCUACGAACCUAGGAAGAUCUAGUCCAGAAUUUGUUCUCACCGCUAACCAGAUGCCUGUGGGAAACCCACAAGCAGGACCCAAGCACAACAGCCCUCUCUCAUCCUCAGUUUCCAGCAACUGGAAUUCAGAAGGAUGCCUCUUCUGACCAUGGAAGCAGAGCCAUCAUGGCUAUCUGAUAGAAAUAGCUUCCAUGAAUCCUCUUUUAAAGCAAUCCAAGUUGGUGGCCAUUGCUGCAUAUUGCAGGAGCAAGCUCCAUAGUUCAACUGCCCCAGUCGGCAAGCAGGGUGAAUGGAUAGCUAGAAGAAAAAGAAACGAAAUGUUAAAAUCAAAGAAUGGACAGCCCAUUACAGAGUAAAAGAUAAAGUCAAAGAAAGAGUUCUUAGUUAGGGAAGACAAAUGAAGAGACUUCAAUAUAGAACAGGAUAAUGAAUUUCAGUUGCAUUUUUCUUUUCCCAGUGGCCUGUACUGGCAACACAGAAGGUAGCAGAUACUAGCGUUCACCACCAUGAAGUCCAUUCCACACAAACUACAACAUGUCUCCACAUUGCCAUUACUCAUCCAAGAACACUGUAAUUGUUCUAAUGAUAUAGAAUGCAUCCACUUAAAAAUUUCUAAGUAGUUAGAGUGAUGGUGAAUGCAUCCAACAGAGCAUACAUGGGACAUGGGUGGUGCUGUGGUCUAAACCAUUGAACCUCUUGGGCUUGCCAAUCAGAAGGUCAGCGGUUCGAAUCCCCGUAACGGAGUGAGCUCCCGUUGCUCUGUCCCAGUUCCUGUCAACCUAACAGUUCGAAAGCAUGUCAAAAUGCAUGUAGAUAAAUAGGUACUGCUGCGGUGGGAAGGUGAACAGCGUUUCCAUUGCUCCAGAAGUGGCCACAUGACCCGGAAAGCUGUCUGUUGACAAAUGCUGGCUCCCUUGGCCUGAAAAGCGAGAUGAGAGCCACAACCGCAUAAUUGCCUUUGACUGGACUUAACUGUCCAGGGGUCCUUUACCUUUUUUUACCUUUUACAUGUGACAUUUUCUUGAACUGAUUUGUAGUCAUAUCUCUUCUACUGUUGCUUUUGUAAACGGUAAUGAAAAAUGUAUGUGCCCAAAUCUUAGCGCAUACCUAAAUGCCUUAAGAGCAUUUACUUCUAUUUAAGUUACCAUUAAUUAUCACGUAGGAUGAUACCAGCACAACAGAAGCUUUGGAAGUAGUGUACCUAACAUUCUAUUGCCAUUAAAGGUUUGCUAUCUAUCAUACAAUGGCAUUUGCUGUAGUAGUUGUCAUGUUAGAGAAGUGCACAAGAUGGAGGAUACUGAAUAUUUAAUGGUGAUUACUAUCGUCAUAUUCAUUUUAAUCAAUUCGUGAAAGAAAGGAAUGCUCUUAGCUGUCUAAGCAUAAAAAUGGUGCAAAUGCAGCCCAUUCAUUCUUAGGUGUAAAGCUGAAUUAAAGUGCUUUAGGAUGAGAGAAUAAUAAUGAUUAAGAAUGACUCCACCAUUUAUUUUUUUACAAGCUCUUGCCACAUGGGCAUUCUUCUCAUGCAACAAAUACAUAUUUGUUACACAGAAAAGUGCACUGCAAUAUUUUGUCUCUGGAUAAAUACUUUUAUUCUUCUCUCUAGCCAAUUCCUUGCUAUUGUGACUGCUAUAUGGAAUAUGGGUACAACUAUGGGUACACAGCUCCCUAUCAACUCCCUGAUUUCCAUGGAAGAAUGAUAGAGAAGAAAAACUAUAAUAGAUGAGUCACGUCACAGAAUCAUGGAGUUGGGAAAGAUCAGUGGCAUUCAUUAUAAGAAGCUAACAAUCUAAGCUUAAAUUGUCAAGCAAGCCCAGGAGAAUAUGAGACUGCAGACCUCUGCCCCUUUUUCUUCAGAGAAAGUUCCACUCAGUUCUGUUUACUUCUGAGUAAACACACUCCCCAACUUGCUUUCUUUGAAGAGAAGACUCUCCAUGCUGACUGAGGGGAAUUUCAAAAACUGUUUGUCAUAUGGCAUGGAGGAUAUGUAGCUGUUUGUGGUGGUGGUGUGUGUGGAGGGAAUAUCCUAAAAUCCCAUUGGACUAACUGAAGCUUCUUGUGUAGGCCUAGGCAGUUCUUUGGAUCAUAGUCCUUAUUCCAAAAGCAUCCCUGAAAAAUUCCCACCCAGCCUUUUCUUGGAAACUCCAAGAAUUCCACAACAGCACUAAGCAAAUAUUGGACGACAGAGGAAAAUAUUACUGCUUAGGGUGACAAAACAAAGCAUUUCUUCUUCAAAUGAGGCAUCUAAUUCAAAAUGUUGCUGAGCUAGGGCUGCUUGCAUGGCAAAACUGUUUAAAAAAGAGAGCAUAAUAAAUGCUACCAAUAUCAGGAGGAACAACAGCGUCUAUAAAACAUUCAAAUGAAAUGCCAUGCUCUGUAUAGAGGGGUAAUAUAUGCAGUGGUGGCCAUCUGCAAACCUGAGAUAACUGGACAUGCCUACAUCCCACCCCACCCCCCUUCUCUGAUCCAGUUCAUUUAGUCAUAGAGCAUCCAGGAUCAGUAACCUGCCUGCUUGUUAAACAAUCUGGGCACUAAGGUAGAGUCAAACUGGAAUUGCUUCUUAGUAAAAGCAUCAAAUGAGAAAACCAAUUUUAACCAUCACCACCACCUUAAAAAAAAAAAAAAUCUGGUGUAAUAAAACAGGGAUUUGAGUUGCAAGGAGUUUGGGCUUUUAGGCAGAACUGUGCAAAAAUGGCCUCUCAAAAAGACAAUUGAAAGGAGAGUGUGGUCAUGAGAUACUGAGAAUAAGAUGAGAGAGAGAACAAAAGCAUAUGCAAAAGUGUUAACCUAGAUGAAGAAGAAUUAAUAAAUAGGGUAUUUGUUCUGUAUGGAAUUACUGAAUCUGGUUGGAUUCUAAGGUCUGCCUUGAAUAGUUGUUCCGCUCUUUGUAAGCAAUGGCAACAGAUAUUUUAUGGGAAAUUGAGACUCAGCAGAGGGAGCAGAGGUGGAUUUAGGGCAGCGCAAGCAGUGUGGGGGCACUGGGCUUGCAGCUGAGGAUACCUUUUCAAAGCCCAGUAAGAGCUUGCCCUGGCUUUGGGAAUUAGGUGUGAGGACUUUGGCAGGGUCCUAGAGUCCCACCACCUCCUUCCCAAAGCCAGGCAUGUCCUUAUAGCAGUUUGGGAAGAAGGAGGGAGGGCUCCAGGACCCUGCCAGAGCCUUGCACUUCCUCCCCAAAGCCUGGCGCCUUCUUUGGCUGGCUUAAGUUGGAGCUGCAAGGGCUGGGGGGAAGGCGUCAAAUGUUGGCCUCACACAUUACCCUGGAAUGAUUGACCAAGUGGCCAUUGUUGGAACAUCAGAUUAAGGUUCUGCUGUUGGCGUUACUGUUACUGUGUUGGCAGCCUAGACACCUUCUUCCAUCUUUCGCAAUGCCCUGGACCAGUAGCAGCUGGUCUUUGCUGGGGUGGUGCCACGCAGCUGCCUUGCAAACACUGGGGUCACUGCGGAUUACCUGGAUUGGGAUGAAAACGUGCCAGGAUGACAGUGAGGUUGGGUUUACGCAGGCAUACUGAUGGAAGAUAUGGAUUGGCCCUGCCAAUGUAAUCUAAGUAGCCACAGCUUAGCUGCUGUCCUUGCCUGCAAACACUCCCCCCUCUUUCCAUCGCAGUACACUGCUGUGACUCAGUGGGAUCAUAGAAUCAUAGAAAUGUAGAGUUGGAAUAGAUCCCAAGGGUCAUCUAGUCCAACCUCCUGCUAUAUAGCUGCAAAUAGAACAUUUUAAGUGUGUUUUAAGUACAAUAUACAAUAUGCAAUGUGAUACUAGAUGGUGAUGAUGAGCCUUAUGGAAAAUUCAAUGUCUUUUUAAAAACAUUUUUUUAAAAGCUUUUUCAGAACAGUUUUUAUAUGUGUGUAGAUUCCACCCCAAGUGUGUUGCAUAGUCCCGGCAUUAUUUUUAAAUUAUUAUUUAUUAAAUUUAUACACCACCCUUUAUUUGGAGAUCUCAGGACAGUUCGUCAUGCAGUCUACUGCUCUAAAAGUUGACCAAAUGCAAACUUUGAGUUGGGUAUAGAGACAAACUGGCAAUCAGUUGAUGCCCACUUUCCUAUCGCAGACUGUGAGCAGGUGAAUAUGAAUGAAGUGCAGCACAGAAGACUUUGUUUCCUCUCUCUGUCUCUCCUCUGCUAUACUUUCCUGUUUGUUUGAUCUUGCUUUGCAGUGCACAACUAAUUCUUCUGUAAUCCUCCAAUGAGGUUUGUGCCAACUUUCUGACUUCUUACCCAAACCUUCUGAGCUCUGCUGGCAAAUUGUCUGCACCGCUAAUAAAAACAAUCUCGACAAGACACAAAAGUUCCACUGAACACCUUGAACCCGAUGGGACAUCUCGAAUAAGAAAGGCAAGUGAGUUUGGCUCCAAGAUUUUGCCAUGCAUAAAAUAAAUGGAUUUUGUUCUCCUGAAUAAAGGAUUAGUAUUGCUUGCAUAGCUCCAGCUCUCAUAGAGCGAGAGAUUUGUUGUGCAGUUAAUCAAAUGAACCUGGCAAAAUCUUUCAUGCUUUGCAUUUUGAUCUGUAGAUGCAAUGUAGCUCAUGAUGUUAGCUUGUCAUUUUGGUGGCUGGAUCAGAUGCAUCAAAUGAGUAACUUGUCUGGGUUUGUUGGGGGUUUUGCCCCCACCCCCCAGGUUGUAAAUUUCUUUUGUGACUGAUGUAGAUCUUCCAAUUGAAAAAUGCCAAUUAAAGUACAUGGCUAUGCUAUUGUUGCAAGUUCUUUAAAAAAAAAAAAGGAUUAAAAGGAUUACUGCAAGUGUGAAUCAAGGUUCUAUUGCCUAAUGUUUGUUUUUCCCCUUAUGCUUGGAUUUUAAACCACAACUCUUCAUAAAAGCACACCUUGGGGAAUAAGGAUUCUGCUGGUGCUUAUAGUUUUCCCUUGUAGACAUGCUUUAUUUAUACUCUAUUUGUAUUAAGUUUCUUUAGAGUGCAAUAUUAUUUAAAAAAAUAUGCUGGUGGUAAAAUUCCUAUUAAAGGAGAUAUGGAUGCAGCUGAUACAGUCUGUGAUUGCAAAAUGGCGUAAUUAUUAUGCAUGCUGCCUUUUAAGACUUGCACUUUAUGCCUUCUUUUGUGACAUUCAGAAGAGUAAGGAAAGAAGCAAACGUCAAGCUGACAAAUGUAAUUGUGUUUCCUCAAAUGAUUUGUAGCCCAUUCCAUUGUCUUAUAGAAUCUCCUGACUUUAAACAUCCCUCCCCAUCUUCUUCAUUUAAGACAGGAUUCUGAUCUCACACCUUUGUAACCAGGGAGUUACUUAAAUAGCUCCUGAUUCAAGCUAUCAAGACGGCUCAAUCAGACCCUGUUUGUGCUUGCUGUAAAUCUAAGCUGGCAUUUUCAGGAUUCUUAUAAGAGAACAGCUUUGGGGGACAUGUGACGGGACCCGCAAGCCACCUUUUUCUUUGCCCACCCCUGCUCUACGCAAAGGUAUGAGUAACGAGGUAUGAGUCUCCACACACUCAGCAGGGAUUUUUAUUGUUCUUCUCCACCCCACCAAAAAAGUAGAGGCUUUCUACGCAGUACAUCAUCAACUGCUUUCAAAGGCAGGAUUUUCCCCACUCUGUUUCUUCCCUUAGAUUUUGGGUUGCAAAUUGCUCCAUCAUGUUUGAGGACUGGCAGCAAUGCAUUAACAAUCUGCUAGUCUGCCUUUUAAUUUAUUUUUCAAAAAUUUCAGGAGUACAUGCAGGUUUUCAUCCACAUCUCUUCAACGUCCCCUUGGAUACAAGGAGAAAAAAGGAUCUUGAUGCAAUGGUGCGACAAACUGUAAGGAUAUAAGAAGAAACCUGCCAGAUUGAGCCAAUGACCUCUCUAGCAUCCUGUUCUCAAUGUACUUGGAGCUUUCUUUAAAGUUUUGCACUGCUGCUAUUGCCCUUGUUGAUCUGGGCCAACUCUUAACAAGUGUUAGAGAGCUACUGAAGGCUACGAAGAAACUACCAGCUGCACACAGUAUUCAUAUUUGCACUUAAAUAAUGCCCCGAGCUCUUGGCUGUAAUCCUCAUUCAACGCACACCAAGGAUGCAUGAAGUAUUCAGCCUUUGUGAAUUCUGAAGCGAGCAGGCCCACUUGACACCUCUGACUUGGACUAAUGUUCAGAUCAACU
rnacentral:lncRNA from 1 species